GCACAAAACAUAAAAUACCAAAUAUCUCCAUGAACUCCAGAGCACACACCUUGAGCCACUCUAUAAUAAUAGAGGAACUUAUGCUAAAACGAGUAACAAGAAAACUUCUCUAAGCACACCCGUGCCCCAGUAAUAGAAAACCUGCUGACAAUUAACAGACCAAAACAGGCACAACAACCAAAACAACUGUUGCAACAACACUGUCACACCAACACAGGGGUGCUAUAAAGAAAGAUUAAAAGCCCUAAAAGGAACUCAGCAAAACUUGUCUCAACUGUUUACCAAAAACAUAGCCUUUAGCAAUAUAAGUAUUAAAGGUCCUGCCUGCCCAGUGAAACCCUUUCUUUUCAACGGCCGCGGUAUUCUAACCGUGCAAAGGUAGCGUAAUCACUUGUCUCCUAAAUAGGGACUAGUAUGAACGGCUAAAUGAAGACAAGCCUGUCUCUUAGGGCCUAUCAGUGAAACUGAUCUUCCAGUCCAAAAGCUGGAAUACAAACACAAGACGAGAAGACCCUGUGGAGCUUUAAAUUUAUUACCAAUAAACACGCCCUGGUAUGAAAUUUUAAGUUGGGGCGACUUCGGAACAAAGCAAAACUUCCGAGCACAGAACCACCACUUCUAACUUAGGCGGACACGCCAAAGAACUAAAUUAGACCCAGUCAAACUGAUCAACGAACCAAGUUACCCCAGGGAUAACAGCGCCAUCUUCUUCAAGAGUCCCUAUCGACAAGAAGGUUUACGACCUCGAUGUUGGAUCAGGACACCCAAAUGGUGCAGCCGCUAUAAAGGUU
rnacentral:rRNA from 1 species